GCAGAGAAACGCGAACAAAUACCCAUAACCACAGAAGAGAGAAGGAAAAGAAAGAGAAGCAGAGCGUAAACAAAGAAAAACAAAACCCAGAAUCUAGAGAGCAAAAACGGCUCUAGCAUACCAUACCACACAACACAACACACACAAACAAAAAGGUUUCAUUGGAUCGUAACUGGGGCACUUGUCGAAAUUGGAAAAUUCCCGAGUGAUUAGGGUUUUGAUCGGAGGGUGUGAUUGAAAGGAAGACUGUGCUUGUUCAUUCUCUGCGCCGGGGUUGCGUGAAAUGGGCAUGAGCUCUGAUCUUUUCUGGGGGUCGUGUUGUGGGUUUAGAGCUACGCUGGUUGAGCAUUUGCACUUGGAGAUUGCUUAAGAUGCUGUUUAACAUUGCUUUUUUGAGCAUGGAAGAAGAUUGUCUAUAUUAAUAACAGUGAAUCAGUGGUUGAUUUGGAGAACCGUGUUUGGACACAGUACAAAGCCUUCCGGGUCUUCAGUUUUCGCGUUUUUUUUGGUCUUUGCUGGGGGAUUUGACACGAAGAAGAAGCUGAUGAUUUUUUGUUGCCUCUUAGCCCUUUGAAUUGACUAACAUUAGUAGCUAAAAUACACUGAUUGGAGUUGUGUUGAUCCAUUUGCUGACAUUAAG